AACUUUAUAUUCAAUAAAUGAUAUUAAAUUGCAAAUUUAAAGUAAUGAAUAUUUUCAUUAAAGUUU
rnacentral:tRNA from 1 species